ACCCAGCUGGCUCAGUCAGUAGAGCAUGUAACUCUUGAUCUCAGGGCUGUGAGUUCAAGCCCCACAUUGAGUG
rnacentral:tRNA from 1 species